rnacentral:rRNA from 1 species
CCAGACUCCUACGGGAGGCAGCAGUGGGGAAUAUUGGGCAAUGGGCGCAAGCCUGACCCAGCAACGCCGCGUGAAGGAAGAAGGCUUUCGGGUUGUAAACUUCUUUUCUCAGGGACGAAGAAAGUGACGGUACCUGAGGAAUAAGCCACGGCUAACUACGUGCCAGCAGCCGCGGUAAUACGUAGGUGGCAAGCGUUAUCCGGAUUUAUUGGGUGUAAAGGGCGUGUAGGCGGGAGCGCAAGUCAGAUGUGAAAACUCAGGGCUCAACCCUGAGCCUGCAUUUGAAACUGUGUUUCUUGAGUGCUGGAGAGGCAAUCGGAAUUCCGUGUGUAGCGGUGAAAUGCGUAGAUAUACGGAGGAACACCAGUGGCGAAGGCGGCCUGCUGGGCUUUUACUGACGCUGAGGCUCGAAAGUGUGGGGAGCAAACAGGAUUAGAUACCCGAGUACA